GUCAAGGCAGCCUGCAGAUAGACGGUGGUUGUGUGGCUCAGGAUGUGGAGAGGCACACUGCAAGUAGAAAUUUAGAAAAGAAAAAAAGAAAAAAAACUACUACUAUGUUGUAGGCUCCCCCUUCAAUAUUAUUAUUAUUAUUAUUAUUUAAUUGAUGAAAAUUUAAAAAAA
rnacentral:ribozyme from 1 species